rnacentral:rRNA from 1 species
CCCUUAGAUGUCCUGGGCCGCACGCGCGCUACACUGAUGCAUGCAACGAGUUUAUAACCUUGGCCUGAAAGGUCUGGGUAAUCUUUUGAACGUGCAUCGUGAUAGGGAUAGAUUAUUGCAAUUGUUAAUCUUGAACGAGGAAUUCCUAGUAAACGCGAGUCAUCAGCUCGCAUUGAUUACGUCCCUGCCCUUUGUACACACCGUCCGUCGCACCUACCGAUUGAAUGGUUCGGUGAAGAUCUCGGACUUCGAUAUUUAUUCUUUAUUGAGUUUAUAUUGUGGGAAGUUAUCUAAACCUCAUCAUUUAGAGGAAGGUGAAGUCGUAACA